rnacentral:rRNA from 1 species
UCCCAGACUCCUACGGGAGGCAGCAGUGAGGAAUAUUGGUCAAUGGGCGGGAGCCUGAACCAGCCAAGCCGCGUGAAGGAAGAAGGCGCCAGGCGUCGUAAACUUCUUUUGUCGGGGAACAAAGGGCGCCACGCGUGGCGUUGUGAGUGUACCCGAAGAAAAAGCAUCGGCUAACUCCGUGCCAGCAGCCGCGGUAAUACGGAGGAUGCGAGCGUUAUCCGGAUUUACUGGGUGUAAAGGGAGCGUAGGCGGCUGUGUAAGCCAGAAGUGAAAGCCCGGGGCUCAACUCCGGGACUGCUUUUGGAACUACAUGGCUUGAUUGCAGGAGAGGCAAGUGGAAUUCCUAGUGUAGCGGUGAAAUGCGUAGAUAUUAGGAGGAACACCAGUGGCGAAGGCGGCUUGCUGGACUGUAAAUGACGCUGAGGCUCGAAAGCGUGGGGAGCAAACAGGAUUAGAUACCCCGGUA